rnacentral:rRNA from 1 species
UACAGAGGGGGCAAGCGUUGCUCGGAAUCACUGGGCGUAAAGCGCACGUAGGCGGAUUGCUAAGUCAGGGGUGAAAUCCUGGAGCUCAACCACAGAAUUGCCUUCGAUACUGUUAGGCUUGAGACCGGAAGAGGUAAGUGGAACUGCGAGUGUAGAGGUGAAAUUCGUAGAUAUUCGCAAGAACACCAGUGGCGAAGGCGGCUUACUGGUCCGGUUCUGACGCUGAGGCGCGAAAGCGUGGGGAGCAAACAGG